GAAUUCCAGCACAUUAAAAAACCCUGCAGACUGAAGGAGUCUAACUCGAGGUGGUGGGAGGGGUCAGAUAUCUGGGUACAUGUGCCGUGUAUAGGACGCAGGCGAGGAGUGCAGCUCGGGCUCAGGUCUGUGUGCUAAAGAAAGCUUUACCACGAGCUUACAUUUCUGAUCUGAGAAGCCACGCCUGACCAUUAGAGCAGCAGCAGCAGCAGCUCAGAGACUUCAGCAAAGACCUGCAGCAGCAACCAGUUCAUCAUGGGUCUCCCAACUCACCGUCAGUGCAGCAUCGAGAUCCAGAACAA